CUAAUACCGUAUAAUAAUUAAAACCGCAUUGGUUUUAGUUUAAAAGAUGGUCUUGCUAUCACUAAGAGAUGGUCCCGCGGUGUAUUAGUUAGUUGGUGAGGUAAUGGCUCACCAAGACAAUGAUACAUAGCCGAGUUGAGAGACUGACCGGCCACAAUGGGACUGAGACACGGCCCAUACUCCUACGGGAGGCAGCAGUAGGGAAUCUUCCACAAUGGACGAAAGUCUGAUGGAGCAACGCCGCGUGUGUGAUGAAGGGUUUCGGCUCGUAAAACACUGUUGUAAGAGAAGAAUGACAUUGAGAGUAACUGUUCAAUGUGUGACGGUAUCUUACCAGAAAGGAACGGCUAAAUACGUG
rnacentral:rRNA from 1 species